rnacentral:rRNA from 1 species
UACAGAGGUCUCGAGCGUUAGGCGGAAUCACUGGGCUUAAAGCGUGUGUAGGCGGAUCCGUAAGUACCUUUGUGAAAUCCCAACGGCUUAACCGUGGAACUGCUUGGUAUACUGGCGGGUCUUGAGCCACCUAGGGGCGAGCGGAACAGAUGGUGGAGCGGUGAAAUGCGUAGAUAUCAUCUGGAACGCCAACGGUGAAAACAGCUCGCUGGGGGUGUGCUGACGCUGAGACACGAAAGCCAGGGGAGCAAACGGG